CUCACUAUGUAGGGUUAGUUAAAAAACUAAGGGCCCCCGACAGUUAGGGCCACCCAUCAGCCACAGCCUAUCACCCAGAAAAUUAGACUGAAAACGUAAAAAAUGCAGGUAAUUACGAAUCGAUGGAAAAAUACAAAAUUAAUAAUGCUAAAUAAUAAACCCUCCAUCGAGUAUCGACGACGGUAUUCCAUCUCAAAUAGAACAAAAGUUAUUCUUAAAAGUUGUUACAUGUGUUGGAGACUGUUAUUAUCAUUGUUAUAGACACAGAAUUUUCCAUAUUCUACUGAUAAAUAUUCAAUUUAAAUUUUAGAUCUCAGUCAAACAAUAACAGUCAACAGGGCCCCCACACCAAAUAUGCCUAAGGGCCCUUCUUCCUCUGUUAUGCCACAUUCAAUUAUCUGCCAGUAUGAUAUUCACAUGCCUACUAUAUGAUGUUAAAAUGUAUCAUCUUAGGCCCUGUUUACAUGAGCCAUGCAGGCUAGCCUGCCUUGCCAGAAUAGAAAUUGUUAUCAUAUGAGUCAGGGUCUUGGCUAACCAAGACACUGAAGACAAGCCUGGCUAACUAGGCCAGCUUGAGUCAUCUAAUGUCCAUUUUAUGUACUAUAUAUGCAUAAUCACUUCAUAGUCUGCUAUAGCACAACAUAUUUCAAUAAUUAUUAACCCAAUAAUUAUUAACCCAACAAUUUCUAACAAUUAUUUUAUUAAUUGACAACAAUUAUUUUAUUAAAAUAUUGAUUAUUUUAACAAUUAUUUUAUUAAUAACAAUUAUUUUAUUAAAAUAUUGAUUCUCUUCAUUGCUGAAAUCUAACAUUGAUCAUGUGGCAGUCCCACUUUAUGCUUUGUUGCAGGCAAAGAAGCAUCCAACUAGCCUUUGACACCCUAGUCUAAUGUUGUUAAUGUUACACCCUAGUCUAAUGUUGUUAAUAUUAACUCAUUAACUGGCAAUGUGAAUGUGCCCUACUUAGUAUUUACUCUGUCUAAUGCCAGACGAUUAAUUACUCGUUAGUGGUAGAGGACUGCCAGUAAAUGGGUUAAAGUGAAUGUUAAAUAUGAAUCAAGUUGAAAUCGGUUGUAAUAACCAACUGAUUCAUUAACCCAUUAAGUUGCAAGACUCCACUUGAUGAGUAAAAUCAUCUAGCAUUAGACAGAGUAAAGAUUUAUUGUGUUAUCUGCCGCUGUUGGAAGAUCUUUUCCUUGAACAUUUUACUAAAGAUUUACUGUGUCAUCUGCUGCUGUUGGAAGUUUCUUUUCCUUGAACAUUUUACUAAAGAUUUGCUGUGUCAUCUUGUUGCUGUUGGAAGAUCCUUUUCCUUGAACAUUUUACAAAAAAUGUACUGUGUUAUUGUGCAUAAUUUCUAGUAAAAUAUAAGAAAAAUUCAAAUGUUGUAUUUCCAAAAAUAUGCACUCAGACUUUGUGGACCCAGGGGGAGGGACAGCUUAUAAUCAAGGCAUACAAAAGUUAGAUGUACGCAGGGACGAAACUUGGGGGGGGGGUUAUGGGGGAGUGUGACACCCCCCCAAAGUACGAAUCAUCUGGAUUGGCAGGGUGAAUCAUCUGGAUUGGCAGGGCAAUCAAAGAUUUUAAAUGAUAGAAUGUAGAGUUAUUAAGUAACUUACAGGGAUUUAUAGACCCACAUUUUACAGAUAUUGGUCCAAAAAUAAGGGUUUUACGCAUGUUUUAAAAGGAAUUUGUACAGAAAAAAUUUUUUGACCCUUAAUUUGACUGGUUUAUGUCCGGAAACAUUUUUCAACCUAUCUCCCCCCCCCCGGCUCGUGGGGGGGGGAGAUAGUGGCCCAAAAAAAAUUUGCUGCAGGGCAUCAUCGGCUUUUGCAGGGAAAUUCUAGCAGACACCCCUUAAUUAAAAUGGGCUAGUUUCGCCCCUGGAUGUACAGGGGGGGGGGCAACAUUUUCUGAGAGGGGUCCCCCCAGCUCUGGCUAGGUUACUGUAUAGUAUUCCCUAAAGCAAUAAAAUAUUAAUAUUUCUAACUAAUAAUUAUUACUAAUUAUUAGUAAAUAUUUAUUAUUUAUGUUGCUCUAAUAGUCAAUUAGCCAAGCCAGACUACAUGAUUCAAAUCCUAAUGGGCCAAUUGCACAGGGCAGAUUAAAAGAGUGACUAACAGACUAAACAGUGAUGCGACCAUAGUUGGAUUUCAGUCUGAAUCAUGUGACACUUUAGCACUUGGUGGUCAACUCCAAAAGGAAACACAGUUAUUGGAUUGAGUUCAUUAUUCAUUAUAUUAAUUCACCUUGUAUUCAAUAAUCAAUAGCAAAUACAGAACAUUUAACAAAAUUUGCUCGCUUCCACAAGCCAUAUAUAAAAGCGACAAACGUGCAAAGUUGACCACCAUGUGUUUUCCUAUGAAUAUGUCACCAAAAUAUUAAAU
rnacentral:lncRNA from 1 species